UUUCAAUAUGAACGCGCACGCAGAUCGGGCUGGCAACGGGAAUCAGGUAGUGACACACACCGCAUACGCUAAAUGAAAAAAACGUUAAAAACAUGCUUCGAAAGCUCGACCCAGUGUCGAAACCUCAGAAUCGCACGGCCCAUCACUAGCCAGGGGUCGUGAGAACAAAGUGGACGCUGGGAGGCGUGGAAUGUCGGGCUGCUUCGCCGGGUCGUGAGCUUCGAAGUUUUGGACAGCGUCCUCUCUUCUCGCACUGUUUGUGACACUUCAAGUGCCCCGUCGGCUCCUGGGAGAGUGGAAAUCGUUGGGAAUGAGUUUAAUCGGCGCCAUCGAAGCACGACUCUGUUUGUAAAUUGCCAUACAUGACUACUUACUGUCCUUACUUAAGCGAGAUGAAAGUCAUGUGAUGAAGUCAGGUGCCCCAGCUGUAUCCUGCAGAGUGGAUGAUGGCCGGUCAGAAGCGUCAUAAGUGUCAAAUCCUCUAACGUCAUGAAGAUUGCACCUCUUCCGUCUCAGCCUUCAUUUAAAAACAGUGAUGCCAGGAAGCUGACAUUCAAUUAGAAGCCUGCAAAUGUGAAAAGACAACUCUCUCCAGUAAGCCACCCUUUUCUGUGAAGAUGAUGGACUCACCCAGUCCCUUUAGCCAUUUUUAUCUGGUUUUGUUUCAUGUUCUUUUAUAGGUUUGUCUGUUACACAAAGAUUAAUGAGAAAGCAGGAACACUUGAGUCGGAGAUGGUUGCGCCAUGAGAAUGUGUUUCUUAAACUUCAUUAUUUUUUUUUGUUACAUAUUGAGCUUUUUUGUUUUGAUGAACAUUUUGGACCACUCACCCAGACAUCGAUUUCACCUUCUGAUCCUUUCAUAAACAGACUUUUACUACCUUAUUCCUAUGUAGUACAACCCUAUAUAGAGGAGGAGCAAUCAAUGGGAGAAACCAAAGGAUGAAAUAAAAACAAAAAAGAAACCACCAAAGCCCCUCCAGCAGCAUGGGACUGGUUUCACAUCUCCACAAAAACAGAACCUGAAGCAGACUUUCUGAUUCCCCUUCCCACUUUCUCUCCCAACCUGGGAUCCAGUGGAUUUGUAGUAGGGAUUCUUGAAAUCCAAAAUGGACUGGGAACCUAAUUGGUACUUGAGUUUUGCCCACCACAAUAGACUGUGGCCUCCUUUUCUUGCAUACUCAUGUAAUGUUCCCUACCAAUUUCUAAGUAUUUCAGUAUAUGACUGAUGCUGCCCUGUCCGCUGAUUCUCUCUGAUACGCCUCCACCCUCAUUGUUCUCCUGACGCUCACCAGCUGUGCUUGUUUACUCUGCAGGUGCUGAACUUGAAUGAAAUUUCAUUAAAAAUUUAAAGUUGUGAGUUGUAAUGAAAGGUGUGACAUUUCACCCUGUUUUUAACUGAAGACUAAACAGUCACAAAGUUCUGAUGAAUAGAGAUGUUGGAUAUUGUUUGGUGCUGAGAGCUCCUUCUCUCUCUGCUGCAGUCAAGAAAAUGGCCAGUUUUCUGUGAUUUUAGGCUGGUGAAAUCAGAAGGUUUCAAAGGUAAACCUGGGGGUUGGUGUGCAGAACUGGCACUCCAGCCACCAUUAAAAACCUCCCAGUGUUCCAUUCCAUCUGAACUAUUGUGGUGCUGAGGUGUCACGCGUUGCACGGCUGCACUCGGGUCCUAAUGGAUCCUGAGUUGGUUGGCGUAUGCUCCUAAACACCAAACCCAAACUGAUGCUUGUAAAAUCAGAAGGGUUGAGAGGUAGGCGAAUUGGUCUUCUCCCUAGCUGAAGGUGAAAAGGAAGAUGUCUCCAUGUUACACCCAAAUCUUUCUUCCAGUAAACUCCUGAAAUUCUGCACCACAAGAAGUAAACUUAAUGUAAACAAUGGAAACCAGUGUAGGAUUUAGGUAUGGGUGACAUGGGCAGCCACCCACGGGGGUGCAGGGCACACGUACCAAAAAAUUCAGAAUGAUGAUUACAGCCUGAGCAGGUCAGUCUAUUAGGGGUACUGUUCACAAAAUGUAAGGGGCGCUCACUCCAGUUACGAAACACCAAAUGGUGCGUGCUCUAUAAAGUCUGCAUUGUGUUCACAGAGGGGCGCGAUAUUAUGUAAUUGAAAAGGGCAUGGGCUCCGGAUACCGAGGGGCACCUGGGUCAUCGAAGUCAAGUAAUGCUGUUUACACACCGUCACUUCAGGGGAAAUGUUUAGGAAAGCCAGGAGACAUGUGCUUUGUAAAUUUUGCAGUAUGUACACAGAAGGGCACCAUUUAUAUAAAUGAAGGGCUGCACACUCUGGACACAAGGGGCACUGCCAAAUCCCAUACCCCCUUCCACUCCCACACCUGGGGUUCCAAGUGGUCUUCGACUGG